CCAAAUACCUUCAAACUUUAACUAAAUGUUCCUUAGGGUAUCUAGUUUAUAAAUUGUAUCCGAAGUUUUGAUCCAUCGACAAACAUGGCCGCCAUGGCUAAAAAUAGAACAUAGGGGUCAAAUGCAGUUUUUGGCUUAUAUCUCAAAAACUAAAGCUUUUAGAGCAAAUCUGACACGGGUAAAAUUGUUCAAUUGGUCAAGAUCUAUCAGCUCUGAAAUUUUCAGACGAAUCGAACAACCCAUUGUUGGGUUGCUGCCACCGAAUUGGUAGUUUUAACAAAAUUUUGCAGUUUUUAUACGACCGCAAAAAAAUUUUUGUGGUCGUAUAUUGGUAUGCAUUGUCGUCGUCAUUGUCGUCGUCCGAAGACACAUUAGUUUUCGCACUUUAACUUUAGUUUAAGUGAAUGGAUCUCAAUGAAAUUUUACCAUAAGGUUCAAUACCACAAAAGGAAGGUGGGGAUUGAUUUUGGGGGUUAUGGUACCAACAGUUAAGGAAUUGGGGGCCAAAAAUAAGCAUUUUUGUAACUUCCAGACAUAACUUGUGUGUAAGUGUAUGGAUCUCUCUGACAUUGUACCACAAGGUUCCAUAUCACAAAGGGAAUGCUUGGAUUGAUUUAGGGGGUAAUUCCCUCAAAAUUUUAGGAAUUAGGGGCCAUAAAAGGGCAAAAAAACAAGCAUUUUUCUAGUUUCAGGACAAUUACUUGUGUGUUAGUGUAUGGAUCUUUAUGAAAUUGUACUGCAAGGUUCCAUAUCACAAAGGGAAAGCUGGGUUUGAGUUUGGGGUAAUUGCCCUAAACGUUUAGGAAUUUGGGGCCAAAAAACAAGCAUUUUUCUAGUUUCCAGACAAUAACUUGUGUUCAAGUGUAUGGAUCUCUCUGAAAUUGUACUGCAAGGUACCAUACCACAAAGGGAAGGCUGGGAUUGAGUUUGGGGGUGAUGAAUCAUAAGAGGGUUCAAAAAAUUUGGGGGGGGGAUUUUUUUUCCUUUUUUUUCUUUAGAAUUUUCCAUUUUAAAUUGGUUAUUUCUGAUUUAUAUAAAAAAGCAAAUAAUAAUGAUAUGGUUUGAAUAGGUAAAUUAAAAAAAUUUAAGUUCUUAGACCACAUUCAUUCUGUGUCAGAAACCUAUGCUGUGUCAAAUAUUUAAUCACAAUUGUUUUAAGAACUUCAUGGUAGGUUUGUUUAUUAUGCUGUAUAAAUUAUAUAUAUUUAUAUAUAUAUACAAACAAGUUUAAAUUGAAAACAACGUUCAAACCUAUGAUUGCGUUGGAUAAAAACCGUGAUUUUUAUAUAAUGUGGACGUUUCCAUUACUGUAGAGGACGAAGCAACAGUUCAAUUAAAUCAACAGUUUACUGACAUUCAAUCGGUACUGUGAUCCCUAGGCAAUAAAAUGGAAAAUACUAAUAGUGGAAGUUCCAUGACAUUCUGCCCGGGUCCUCCACCAGAUAUUGCGUGGCACCUUUUGAUUAUAAGCAAACCCCUUUAAAAACUUAGCUAAUAUUGUCCAUCAACAAAUAAAUAAAUUAAAUUCUUGGUGUAGUAAGAUAUUAUGGUCCAUUAAUAAAUAAAUAAAUUAAAUUCUUGGUGUACUUGGAUAUGCUGAAUCUAACCAUUACUUGCCCCAACUGUUCAGGGUUCGACCUCUGCGAUCGUAUCCAGCUGUGUCUAGCGGAGCAUUUUAUUUAAAGCGUUAUGCCCCUUCGAAAUAUUAAUUAAAUGAAAAAUUGCUUUGCAUUUACUCUCAAACCUUCAUUUCUCUCAUAGAAAAUGUGCAAUGCGGGGCACAUUGGAGCUCUGUUCUUUUAUUUUUGUUUUUGUUUGAAACUUUAAUGUUCUGUUGCGAUUUUCGCAAUUAUAAAGGUAUUACAAAAAUUUAUCAGUUUUGCUUGUGGCUAUGGACCUCAAGUUUGACACUAAACCUUUGUAUUAUUUUUACUGAAUCUCAAAUGUUUGUCCAAUUUUUUUUUAUAAGUUUCUUAGUAUUACAAGAACAAGUAACUUUGGCUUAUAGAAUGAUUGAAUAAACAUGCAUGCCUCUAAGGAGUCACCUGACCUUGAUCUAAUUUGCUUAGUUUAAAGAUUCACAUUAUAUAUAAUGUUUCUAGAUAAUCAAAGCUUCUGUAGUUUAUAUAGUCGAUUGUCAGUUUUCCUACCGAAGGUCGGUGGUUCUCUCUGGGCACCCUGGCUUCCUCCGCCAAUAAAAACUGACCGCCACGAAAUAGCACAAUCAUGAGUGUUGAAAGUGGUGUUACACACCA